CCCAAAGUGGUGUAGAGGUAGCACGUCUGGUUGACACACGGCGACAGCAACCGUGCCUUCGGGGGUGGGAAGUCCAGGUUCGAUUCCUGGCUUUGGGA